rfam:Physcomitrella patens subsp. patens PHYPAscaffold_151 genomic scaffold, whole genome shotgun sequence.
UAAGAGGCUUUUAUAAAAGCCAUUGUAGAAUAGAUAUUAAUUCUUUU